UGAAGCACAAGGACUUGACGUUUGGGUUCACAGCGACAAGUUUCUAUCCACAGCUCUCCUACUCAAGCACGCUACUGAAAAUGGGGAUGAACAAAACACCUGUUACAAGAAAAGCAAUUGCCAUCAAGUGGAGGAAUGUUUCACAUUAAGAAGAAACACAACAACAACAAAACAACAGACUCCUCCAUGGAUUUUCCUUUAUAGCUUCUUGGCAUGAAUUUUCAGAGCAAUUUAUUUAUAUUAAUGGCCAUAUGUAUUCCCAUCAUCAUUUUCAUGUCAAAUGCUUGCUUUAACUUUGAUAUUUGAGCAAGGCUAGUUUUGCCCACCAAAAUACACUGUCUUUGAUGCCCUCCUC